UUCGCAGGCGGCGUAUUAAGUCAGUGGUGAAAUCCCUCGGCUCAACCGAGGAACUGCCAUUGAUACUGGUAUGCUAGAGUAUAGUUGGCGUAGGCGGAAUGUAUCAUGUAGCGGUGAAAUGCUUAGAUAUGAUACAGAACACCGAUCGAGAAGGCAGCUUACGAAACUAUAACUGACGCUCAGGAACGAAAGCGUGGGGAGCGAACAGGAUUAGAUACCCUGGUAGUCC
rnacentral:rRNA from 1 species